AUUGUAGCAUACAAGGCAUACGGCUCAGUAACGCGUAGUCAACCUAACCUAUGGACGGGAAUAACCUCGGGAAACUGAGAAUAAUGCCCGAUAGAACAUUAUGCCUGGAAUGGUUUAUGUUCCAAAUGAUUUAUCGCCGUAGGAUGGGACUGCGGCCUAUCAGUUUGUUGGUGAGGUAAUGGCCCACCAAGACUAUUACAGGUACGGGCUCUGAGAGGAGUAGCCCGGAGAUGGGUACUGAGACACGGACCCAGGCCCUAUGGGGCGCAGCAGGCGAGAAAACUUUGCAAUGUGCGAAAGCACGACAAGGUUAAUCCGAGUGGUUUCUGCUAAAGAAACCUUUUGUCAGUCCUAGAAACACUGAUGAAUAAGGGGUGGGCAAGUUCUGGUGUCAGCCGCCGCGGUAAAACCAGCACCUCAAGUGGUCAGGAUGAUUAUUGGGCCUAAAGCAUCCGUAGCCGGCUCUGUAAGUUUUCGGUUAAAUCUGUACGCUCAACGUACAGGCUGCCGGGAAUACUGCAGAGCUAGGGAGUGGGAGAGGUAGACGGUACUCGGUAGGAAGGGGUAAGAUCCUUUGAUCUAUUGAUGACCACCUGUGGCGAAGGCGGUCUACCAGAACACGUCCGACGGUGAGGGAUGAAAGCUGGGGGAGCAAACCGGAUUAGAUACCCGGGUAGUCCCAGCUGUAAACUAUGCAAACUCAGUGAUGCAUUGGCUUGUGGCCAAUGCAGUGCUGCAGGGAAGCCGUUAAGUUUGCCGCCUGGGAAGUACGUACGCAAGUAUGAAACUUAAAGGAAUUGGCGGGGGAGCACCACAAGGGGUGAAGCCUGCGGUUCAAUUGGAGUCAACGCCGGA
rnacentral:rRNA from 1 species